UACGGGGGGUGCAAGCGUUGUUCGGAUUUAUUGGGCGUAAAGCGCGUGUAGGCGGUUUUUUAAGUCUGAUGUGAAAGCCCUGGGCUCAACCUGGGAAGUGCAUUGGAUACUGGAAGACUUGAAUACAGGAGAGGGCAGUGGAAUUCCUGGUGUAGGAGUGAAAUCCGUAGAUAUCAGGAGGAACACCGGUGGCGAAGGCGGCUGCCUGGACCGAUAUUGACGCUGAGACGCGAAAGCGUGGGUAGCAAACAGG
rnacentral:rRNA from 1 species